GAUGAAGAACGCAGCGAAAUGCGAUAAGUAAUGCGAAUUGCAGAAUUCAGUGAGUCAUCGAAUCUUUGAACGCACAUUGCGCCCUGUGGUAUUCCGCAGGGCAUGCCUGUUCGAGCGUCAUUUCAACCCUCAAGCCCCGCUUGGUGUUGGGCCCCGCCCGCCGUGGCCGGCCCUAAAGACAGUGGCGGCCCCGCCUGGCCCUCAGCGUAGUACAGCUCUCGCUCCAGGGUCCGGCGGCCGCCUGCCAGAACCCCCCCAACUCUGUGGUUGACCUCGGAUCAGGUAGGGAUACCCGCUGAACUUAAGCAUAUCAAUAAGCGGAGGA
rnacentral:misc_RNA from 1 species